AACAAGUUUGUAACAAGUUGUUAACAACUUGUCAUAGGCUUGAUAGCAUUAUCAGACUUGUUACAAGGUUAUUCUAACAAGUCAUACUAACAUGAUACACCAAGAAUGUUGCAAGGUUGACGACACAAAGUUGUAACAAUGUUGUUAUAUUAUGACUUUAUUGGAUUUGUUGGAACAACCUUACAACAAGUAUGAUAAUAUUGACAAGGUUGUUACAAGUGUUAACAAGUUGUUCCAUUGUUGUU